UUGACAGGGUCGAUUUGUGUAGAGGAACUAAAGGAAGGUUCGAAGUAUAAUUUGUGUCUUUAUAAGAGGGAAGGCCCUUUAUCAAGACGAGGAGAACAGAGUUCCUCCCUCCGGUGGGUCUGCAACAAAAUUUCCAGUGUCAUAAAAUAACUUUGCAUAUCGAGCUUGUCUAUGA